GCGGGGCGUGGUGGCUCACGCCUGUAAUCCUGGCGAAGCUGAGGCUGGCGGAUCGCUUGAGUUCAGGAGUUCUGGGCUGCGGAGCGCUAGGCCGAGCAGGGUCCGCACUAAGUUCAGCAUCAAUAUGGUGCUCCCUGGGGAGCCGGGGGAUACCAGGUUGGCUAACGAGGGGUGAAUCGGCCCAGGCCGGAAACUGAGCAGGUUAAAGCUCCCGCGCUGAUCAGUAGUGGGAUCGCCCCUGUGAAUAGUCCCUGCAGCGCAGCCUGGGCAACACAGCGAGACAUGGUCUCU
rnacentral:SRP_RNA from 1 species